AGAACCUGAGUGAAACAGACGGACGGCGUGCGCUUGCGCGACACAGAGACCACGCUGAUCGACUCAUUGUCCACGAUCGAUUCACUUGCACUUUCUACAUGCAACGACGAUGACUCCUCUUCCUAAGCGGUGCCAGCAGCGUCUCCACCACGUCCGCCAUCACCAUCACCAUCAGCCUCCAGCUGCACGACGACACCGCAGCGUGUGGUAACGGGCAAGAGGAAACGGAGCCUGCACCAUUAGGAACAUCUUGCUGUAUUAAGAGAGAUGCAGGUGGCAGACAUUGAGCGGCAGGAGCUGAACCGUGCCCAGAGGGAGCGCCACUUGCAGAUGGCACUGGAAGAGGCCAAACAAGCGAGGGAGCAGGAAGCAGCCUUGAGGGCAGAAGAACACUUUCAGACGGCUGCUUUCAAUCAAGCAUUCCUUAAUGUUAUGGGGAUGCUUGUCCAGGCAAUGAGUGGCCGACGGGAAUAGAACUGUCUUGCUGCCUAAUGCCAUAGGUAUUUGUGUUUUUGUGUUUGUUUUUUGAUAAUGUUUGCACUACAUGUCUGCACACUGUUAACAGUUUCUUCUGUUAACUUUAAAAUUUAUUUUUGUUUUAUUUGUCUGUUGUAUAUCCGUUGUGCACUACGUACAUGUGCACACUGAUUAAAAAUUAGUUUAUAUUUUCACUAUUUAUAUUUUUACUUUUUGCACUUUGUAGUUUUUUCAGUGUUUUCUGUUCAUAUUUUUACCUUUAUAAUUGUUUUGCUUCAAUAAAAACAAU